GGGAUUUUGAAAGAAAUUAUAUGUGAAGUCCCGAUGCCAAAUAAGACACCAACGUACAAAAGAGCAUGCAUAAAAUAAAUAUUUACAUUGCACCAAAACUAUACAUCUCAUAUAAGGUUUACAAAAGGCAGCAUCCUGAGACAAAAUAGGCUAUUUACAUUACAAAAUACAAACUACUGGCCUCAAGUUAAAACAAACUACAAGUCUGCUCCAAACUAUUCCUCCUAAAAGGAAUCUAAAUAAGGUUCUUCAGUGUUCUUUUCCAACUUUGCAUCUAGGGGGGGAGGGUUGGAUUUGAGUGAGUCCCAAUACUCUGUAAGAUAGAUAGAAAUAAUGCAACAUAGAUAAGUUUAAAAACUUUCAUUAAUGUAUAUUUGGAAAACAAUAUUUAAAAACAAAUUAGAUCCAAUUUCGUUGCCAAGUCAAAUAGUCGAUAUUUCCAUCCAAAUCGAAUAUUCAUCUUACUCAAAUUGUCCCAAAUGAGGUUAAUACUACAUUUAAUGGAUUUACACAACUCACACACAUAGGACAAGAUUCAUCUUCUAACUCAAUUUUAAUUAAAAAUUAAUUAUCUUAAAUUAUGUUUUACUAAUUAUAAACCUACGUGUGCAGCCACCUACACCUAUUUUCAAUGAGGGCAAACGGGAUACCAUCUAGUCAUGGGUGGGUGCGCAAAUGAUUACAAACAUACAUUCACAUAUAAUAUAUACAAAUGAAAUACUCUUAGAUCUCUCUAUGUCGCCAUCAUUCAUGUCCUUGAGCUCCGGAACAUGAAUAUCAAAUUACCCAGAGUCCCUCAAGAUAACUGAACUACAUGUUCCAUAAAGGAACCAAAACCAACACCCAUAACUUAGUGGCUUUGGAACAAAUAAUCAAAGCAAAUAACUCUAGUGAAUUGAAUUUCAACCAGAUUCUAUAUUCAAGUUUUUGACUUUUAAUUUUAUUUAUGUAGUUUAGAGUAAUUCUAGAAACUAAAAUUUUAUAUUGUUUAUUCUUUUAGACUUAAUUUAAAUUUUAUUAAUUUAUUUAUUAAUUAGCGAUUAGUUAUUUAAUUUUUUUAUCAACUCAAAUUGAGCCGUAAAUUUUCAUAUUUUAAUUUCAUACAUUCCUACUUCAUUUUUUUUUAUCCCGUGCUCGAGAAAGAAUUUCCCUCGUACCUGCACUUGUGGUACAGGAAGCACUACCCGCGAAGAUCCCUCAGUGUGCAUAGAUGUUUGCCAAAUCUGCACGGCGCACAGGCCCGCUACAAUUACCAUGCAGUGUGAUAGAUACGGAAGGGCGAAGGCAUCCCGAAUACAGUCCCGGUGCAUAUACACACACCAAUACGCAUGGCAACACCGGUUGCCAUGUACGUGCCCACGUAACAUUCUCGGCACACUCGGUGCCUGACAGUGUCCGAUGUGCAUAUUACACAGCGUUGUUGUGCCAACCCGUGUGGGGGGAUGUCCUCAGACAAAUCUAGGUGCCCAGCAGCAUCCCUUUUCCACGGCUAUAACCCAAAUAUUUCACCUCCAUUCAGCAGCAGCGACAUGGUGAUGCUGCUUUCUGUAAACAGAGCCUUUUUUGCUCAUUUCCUCAAAUUGAUCUUCAAUCUUUUGCUUUCCAAACAUUAUUAUCGGUUACCAAACAGAUAACUUCAAAUAAUUUUCAAAUCAAACUAUUUUAAAUUCACGAAAACCAGAUUAUAACACUCACGCGCACGCACUUUAUUUUCCUUUCACACACGCACACAGCAGGAUUAAUUCACCAAAACAUGUUAUUUAAAACAUUUAAAAAUUACAUAUCAUGCAUCAACAAGAUUUCAGUCUAUCGUAAUUGAUGUAUACGCGAAACAGAAGCAAAGUUUGCACGAAGGAAUGCUGGAAAUUUCAAAAAAGUCUCCUCUGCAACUUGUGAUAAGUAAAACGGAGUAUGGUGAGAGUUUUGAUUAAUUUUCAAGUUUAUGAUUCGUUUAACUUUGAGAAAUAAUGUCCUAACACUCCUAACUUGUUAUUUUAAUAACUAACUACAAGAUUUUGGAAAGGAAAGCACAAAUUAGGAAUGAAUUUAAACGAGGAACAAACACCUACUUGAACAGGGGUGUUGUUCCGAUGCAGCAGCACAAUUUCAACUUUCGAAGCUUGGUGUGGUAAUUUCGGUCAUUAGGUAACGUAUAUAGGUGAUCAUAAACAUCUAAGGAAAUGAGGAAGAUAAUCUAGAAGAAGAAAAAUCAACCUACCUCAGCGUGAAGGAUGAAAAUCCGUUUUUGUCACGUACCCAGAACGUAUGAUCUGUUUUGGGUGCAUGGUUUCUCUCUAGGUUUCCCUCUCUCUCUCUCUUCCAUUUUUCGCUCUCAACCUGCCCUCUCACUCACUUGUUUAACUGGAAUUUUUGGUUUGAAGAAGAUGAAGACGAAGUUGUGAAGAGAAGGAAGCUUUUAACUGAAUUUGGCCCAUCAUCCGAUCAUCCAAAUGCAUGCACGACAUCACAGCUGUUGGUGCUUUUGGUGGCCGACCAAGGCUUGCAUGGAAGGCCAAUUUUUCUUCAUACCUGGCCGGUGCUCACGACAGCCCACCAUGUGGCUCGGUUAUGGCCACAAUUGUG
rnacentral:lncRNA from 1 species